rnacentral:rRNA from 1 species
AUACGGAGGGUGCAAGCGUUAUUCGGAAUCACUGGGCGUAAAGGACGCGUAGGCGGGUUGGCAAGUCAGAUGUGAAAUCCUACAGCUUAACUGUAGAACUGCAUUUGAAACUGCUAACCUAGAGUAUGGGAGGAGGAGAUGGAAUUAGUGGUGUAGGGGUAAAAUCCGUAGAUAUCACUAGGAAUACCGAAAGCGAAGGCGAUCUCCUGGAACAUAACUGACGCUAAGGCGUGAAAGCGUGGGGAGCAAACAGGAUUAGAAACCCUAGUAGUCC